CCGGGAAGCCCGCCACCGGGGCUGGGGCAGCAGGGUCCACAGCUACCAGGUGAGGCCGGGUCAGGUAGCCCCUGGCCAGGCUGGCUGCCUGGUAUAGGAAGGCAGCCAGUGAGGUUACUUCAGUCUGGGGCUCUGCCAAGAAAGUGGGAGCUGCCCCCCAAUCUCUCCCCAGCACUCCCUACCGCCCUGACAUCCUGUCUGAAUACCUUGCUAUCUGCUGAGAUCUCAGGGUCAAGCUGUCUCCACCGCACAUUGACCUCCAUCAUGAGCCCAGAUAAUACCCUCUUCCCCUCUUCAGAUUACGAUCAUUACCAGCUCAUCUGGCAACUUAGCUCAGCACCCACAGCUGCGGAAAGGGGGUGCCAAGAGGGGCACUCUGGGGUCACGGGCAAACACGAGAGAUGUGUGAAGAGCCAGGCUAUGACCCGCCUGAAGGUAUCAGGCUGUCAAGAGAUCCCGUUCUGGACGGAGCUGGCCAGGCAGGCAGCAGCCCCGAGGAAGGUGAGCAGGAGUCCUGGGGGCCUUUAGGUAGCACCCUCACAGGAUGAUCUGGUUGGUGAAGCUUCGACUUAGCUCCUUGUGUGGCAGAACAAUCGAGUUCAAGAUGAGCACCUCGGCAGGAAUCCGGACACGGCAGCCUGAAGCAUGAGCAAGGUCACCAGGAGCAGGUCAUGAGAGAGUGGCUCCAUGGAGGACAAUGCUCUCUCGCAGACGUACACCCUCGCCCAAAGUCACCCCCUUCCCAAUGGAGACGUUGGGGCCCAGCUGUGAAGAGGACCAUCAUACCAUGAGAGUGGGGAUGUGGGGAUGCUCAAGGCCACACAACAGGUGUACCAAAGCAGAGAGACAGACCGGCAUCUG